GCCAGCAUGGUGGAGUGGUUUGAGUGUUGGACUACGACUCUAGUGACCAGGGUUCAAAUCCCAAUUUGGUCA